rnacentral:rRNA from 1 species
CCUACGGGUGGCAGCAGUGGGGAAUAUUGGACAAUGGGGGGAACCCUGAUCCGGCCAUGCCGCGUGUGUGAAGAAGGCCCUCGGGUUGUAAAGCACUUUCAGUGAGGAAGAACGCCUGGUGGUUAAUACCCAUCAGGAAAGACAUCACUCACAGAAGAAGCACCGGCUAACUCCGUGCCAGCAGCCGCGGUAAUACGGAGGGUGCGAGCGUUAAUCGGAAUUACUGGGCGUAAAGCGCGCGUAGGUGGCUUGAUAAGCCGGUUGUGAAAGCCCCGGGCUCAACCUGGGAACGGCAUCCGGAACUGUCAAGCUAGAGUGCAGGAGAGGAAGGUAGAAUUCCCGGUGUAGCGGUGAAAUGCGUAGAGAUCGGGAGGAAUACCAGUGGCGAAGGCGGCCUUCUGGACUGACACUGACACUGAGGUGCGAAAGCGUGGGUAGCAAACAGGAUUAGAUACCCCUGUAGUC